rnacentral:rRNA from 1 species
AUUGAACGCUGGCGGUAUGCUUAAGACAUGCAAGUCGAACGGUAACAGACCUUCGGGUGCUGACGAGUGGCGGACGGGUGAGUAACACGUGGGAAUCUACCUUGUAGUGGGGGAUAAGCCAGGGAAACUUGGACUAAUACCGCAUACGCCCUAAGGGGGAAAGGAGCAAUUCGCUAUAAGAUGAGCCCGCGUCUGAUUAGCUAGUUGGUGAGGUAAAGGCUCACCAAGGCGACGAUCCGUAGCUGGUCUGAGAGGAUGAUCAGCCACACUGGAACUGAGACACGGUCCAGACUCCUACGGGAGGCAGCAGUGGGGAAUAUUGGACAAUGGGGGCAACCCUGAUCCAGCCAUGCCGCGUGUGUGAAGAAGGCCCUCGGGUUGUAAAGCUCUUUUGUCCGGAAAGAAAAGCAAUCGGUUAAUACCCGGUUGUUCUGACGGUACCGGAAGAAUAAGCACCGGCUAACUUCGUGCCAGCAGCCGCGGUAAGGUCGUCAUGU